AUUGAACGCUGGCGGCAUGCCUAACACAUGCAAGUCGAACGGCAGCACAGCAGUAGCAAUACUGUGGGUGGCGAGUGGCGGACGGGUGAGGAAUACGUCGGAAUCUGCCCAGUCGGUGGGGGAUAACUAGCCGAAAGGUUAGCUAAUACCGCAUACGACCGAGAGGUGAAAGCGGGGGACCGCAAGGCCUCGCGCGAUUGGAUGAGCCGACGUCGGAUUAGCUAGUUGGCGGGGUAAAGGCCCACCAAGGCGACGAUCCGUAGCUGGUCUGAGAGGAUGAUCAGCCACACUGGAACUGAGACACGGUCCAGACUCCUACGGGAGGCAGCAGUGGGGAAUAUUGGACAAUGGGCGCAAGCCUGAUCCAGCAAUGCCGCGUGUGUGAAGAAGGCCUUCGGGUUGUAAAGCACUUUUAUCAGGAACGAAAAGCGUUGGAUUAAUACUCUGACGUGCUGACGGUACCUGAGGAAUAAGCACCGGCUAACUUCGUG
rnacentral:rRNA from 1 species